AGGACGAACGCUGGCGGCGUGCUUAACACAUGCAAGUCGAACGGAAAGGCCCUUUCGGGGGUGCUCGAGUGGCGAACGGGUGAGUAACACGUGGGUGAUCUGCCCUGCACUUUGGGAUAAGCCUGGGAAACUGGGUCUAAUACCGAAUACACCUUGCUGGCUGCAUGGCUGGUGGGGGAAAGCUUUUGCGGUGUGGGAUGGGCCCGCGGCCUAUCAGCUUGUUGGUGGGGUGAUGGCCUACCAAGGCGACGACGGGUAGCCGGCCUGAGAGGGUGUCCGGCCACACUGGGACUGAGAUACGGCCCAGACUCCUACGGGAGGCAGCAGUGGGGAAUAUUGCACAAUGGGCGCAAGCCUGAUGCAGCGACGCCGCGUGAGGGAUGACGGCCUUCGGGUUGUAACCUCUUUCAGUACCGACGAAGCGCAAGUGACGGUAGGUACAGAAGAAGACACCGGCCAACUACGUGCCAGCACGCCGC
rnacentral:rRNA from 1 species